GGAUAAUCUGGCUGUGAUAUCUGUCACCCUAUUGCUCACCACAGUUGAUUUGACUGAUCUGGCUGGCUAAGAGAACGUUCUCUUCCUCUUAUAUCAUCCCCCCCCCCCAUUCAUCCUGAAACUGUGUGCUUAGUGAAAGAGGACCACCAUUUCAGAGAGAAAGACUGCAUUGAUCUUUAGACAAGAGUAUACAACUAGGGUUUGAUUUCUAAUAUCUCCAUGCAUAUACAUAACAAUAUGGAAAAGAUUUAUCAUAGUCUUU
rnacentral:snRNA from 1 species